rnacentral:sRNA from 1 species
UUUUGGAUGAAAACGACAAAAUUGCUGGCUUUGGGUGUUGCUGUUGCAGCGGUGGCUGCCAUCCCCUUCGUGAUGGCGCAGAGCGCUGACAAGGGCAAGGCGGCCGAGACGGCGCAGGCCGCACCGGUCGACAAGGCGCAGAGCGAGGCCGAGCAGAAGGCCAAGCGCCGUGCGGCGGCGGCUGCCGAGGACAAGGCCAAGGCUGACCAGCCGGCGCCGCGUGAAGAAGAGGAAGAGGAAGCCCGUCGCCGUCGCUGACGCGCUUUCUUCAAGUUUCAAGGACGCCCCGGCGCAGGUCGGGGCGUCUUUUUUUUGAUUCCGCCGCAU